GAUGAACGCUGGCGGCGUGCCUAAUACAUGCAAGUCGAGCGAACGGACGAGGAGCUUGCUUCUCUGAUGUUAGCGGCGGACGGGUGAGUAACACGUGUAUAACCUACCUAUAUGACUGGGAUAACUUCGGGAAACCGGAGCUAAUAGCGGAUGAUAUUUUGAACCGCAUGGUUCAAAGGUGAAAGACGGUCUUGCUGUCACUUAUAGAUGCAUCCGCGCUGCAUUAGCUAGUUGGUAAGGUAACGGCUUACCAAGGCAACGAUGCAUAGCCGACCGGAGAGGGUGAUCGGCGACACUGGAAGUGAGACACGGUCCAGACUCCUACGGGAGGCAGCAGUAGGGAAUCUUCCGCAAUGGGCGAAAGCCUGACGGAGCAACGCCGCGUGAGUGAUGAAGGUCUUCGGAUCGUAAAACUCUGUUAUUAGGGAAGAACAUAUGUGUAAGUAACUGUGCACAUCUUGACGGUACCUAAUCAGAAAGCCACGGCUAACUACGUG
rnacentral:rRNA from 1 species